rnacentral:sRNA from 1 species
AGCAGCGAGUGGCUAAUAUAUUAUCAGGCAAUUACUGCCAACCUAAGUGCGCAGAGCCGUGUGUGGAGGUAAAGUUUGAGGACGAAAAACAAGGAAAAAUUCAGGUGUUGGCUUCACCUUUGAUACGCCUUACUAAUAAACACGAUGCAACAAUCGAAGAGAUAGGUACCCCAGAGAAAGUCAUUGCUUCUCUUGGCCCUUUUGUCACCGGAAAUUCAUAUGAUCCCGAUGAACUACUCGAGACUUUUGUCGUACUCAUUUUCAGUUUCCAUGUUUAUGACUGAUCUUUUGGAAACUUAAACGCACAGUACUAUAAAUAUGUUCUGGGGGAGACUCCAUUUGCUCUCACGGGAUCACACAAUCUUGCUAAGGCGACAGCGAAAGGAAGCACGGUCGUCCUUUUUG